GCGGGUGCAAAAUAAUAUUGCACAGUGCAAUUGAUCCUUAGUGGGAGCUCAGGAGCUGUUGGUUGAUGAGUGAGUUGAUAAGCUACAAGUGCCCACAGGGAGAAGGGAAACAUCAAGCAGGAUGACCAGGGGGUGCUGCAGAGAGGAAGCAGUGAACUGCCCGCAGCUGGCUGAGCCUGAGCCUGUGAUGGGGCCAAGGGUGUGCUGGCACCGUAUGGGCGGAAGGACCCGGGCUACCUCUAAGUCUACUGAGGCGUUAUUUACCAAGGAAUUCCACUGCUUGAAUUUAGAUUACUACUACCUUGACAAAAUUAUACCAAAACACAUCCCAGCACUUUGGGAGAUGGAGGCGGGAAGAUCACCAGGUCAGGAGAUCGAGACCAUCCCGGCUAACACGGUGAAACCCCGUCUCUACUAAAAAUACAAAAAAUUAGCCGGGAAACACUUGCUACUGUUUUAGACCACUACGUUUGGGGGUGAUUUGUUAUGUAGCAAUAAAUAAUAGAAAUAACCAUGAUCCCAAAUUUUUGUGCACAUUCGUGUGUGUGUGUGUGUGCGUGUGUGUGGUGUUGUGUACACAAUUGGCCCUUGAACAACAUGGGCUUGAACUGUGCAGGUCCACUAUGCACAGAUUUUCUUCUACCUCUGCUACCCCUGAGACAGCAAGACCAAUCCCUCCUCUUCCUCCCCACUGCUCAGCCUACUCAACAUGAACACAAUGAGGAUGAGGACCUUUAGGAUGAUGCACUACCACUUGACACAUGGUAAGUAGAUUUUCUCUUCUUUAUGAUUUUCUUAAUAACAUUUUGCUUGUUCGUCCUGUUGAUCGUGCCCUGCAUCUCAAGAGAACUCACCCUAGAGAGGUCUCUGUUAUCCAUGGUCUGUGUUGCUUCGUUCACACGUGGGGCCUGUGAUCCGGGGGUCCCAUGCAUCCUGAUGCACCCUUUGUGGAAACAGGAAUUGCUCUGCAGAGAGUUGGUUUCAAGGCUAGAACAAACCCUACAAUCAUUGGCCUAUUGUCUAAAAAAGCACGGAGGGAUGUGGAGGAGAACAAGGCAUGACGCUGUCCUGAAAGUGCUCCUAGUCUGGUAGGCACGUCUGUCCUGCCACGUCUCCAGAAUCUAUCUUGAGUUGUUGCAGUGCUGCACUUCCUUUGUAGAUGACGGCACAGUUCAUUAUGACUCUUCGGAAUAUCUCAGCCUUUUCAUCCAUGUAGACAACACAGCAAGCUACCAUCUCAUGUGCUCCAAGAAGAAUUGACUCUUCCCCCUACUUCCCCCGUUUCAAGGAGGUGGGGAGGGGGGCAGAGGCACAGAAUCCUGGCCUUGGUGAUAGGAUGUGGUGUGAUGCUGUUCUUCUGUAUGUACUGUCCCAUGGGGUGCCUGAGGAUACGGUGCUGGCUGUGGUCCAGGUAAAUUGGAGACAAUCCUAGAAGUAAAAACAUCCAUCAUGCUUAGUAGGAUCUUAGGUUGUAACGGCUGCCUUGAGCCUUCAGACAUUUUUUUUAUAAAGCUCCCGGUCAUAAAGCACUCUUUCCGCCUCUGCUGCCAUAUGUUUUUCCAGCUGGACUUUCACCAGUCUUCCACUCUCCAGAAAGUUCUUACUCAUUCAGCCCAAGGGUAUCUCAUCAGUUUUUCUGAGGACUGCUGGAAGUUUCAGCAGGCGUCCUGGCCACACGGAAAAUCUAGCUAGCUAAGCUUGUGGAUGAAGGUCUCCAGUUAUGAGUCUGUGCCCUGAGAUGCUGUUGCCUGCCUUAUUCAAAUUAAAUUUAGAGAAAUUUAAAUAAACAUAUAUAAAUGCAUGAAACUGUAUAAGAAAAAAGUCCUUAUUAGUAUGCAUUUUCUGGGACUCAGACAUCCUCACCAAAUCCAACAGCAAGGAAACUGAAUAACUUUUUGUCUUUUAAGAAUAGUUUUUGUCCGAAGAUUGGAAUCUACCCACUUUUUUAGCCUGAUCAGCCAGUGACCUCUGAACCUUGCUUUUCAUUGUUCAUCUUCUAUUCACCUGGGGCACUGAGGAUGUUUUUGCUUUUCCAGAUGCUGUUUUUACAAUUGGUUGACACAAUGGCUAGAGUCAUGACUCUUGGGUAUGCUUCGUAGUUAUUUGCCUAUGGGACAAGGUUC
rnacentral:lncRNA from 1 species